UACGUAGGUGGCGAGCGUUAUCCGGAUUUACUGGGUGUAAAGGGCGCGUAGGCGGGUUUGCAAGUCAGGUGUGAAAUCUAGGGGCUCAACCCCUAAACUGCACUUGAAACUGCAGAUCUUGAGUGUCGGAGGGGUUGACGGAAUUCCUAGUGUAGCGGUGAAAUGCGUAGAUAUUAGGAGGAACACCAGUGGCGAAGGCGGUCAACUGGACGAUAACUGACGCUGAGGCGCGAAAGCGUGGGGAGCAAAC
rnacentral:rRNA from 1 species